rnacentral:rRNA from 1 species
AACGAACGCUGGCGGCAGGCCUAACACAUGCAAGUCGAACGCCCCGCAAGGGGAGUGGCAGACGGGUGAGUAACGCGUGGGAACGUACCCUUCGGUUCGGGAUAACUCAGGGAAACUUGAGCUAAUACCGGAUACGUCCGAGAGGAGAAAGAUUUAUCGCCGAGGGAUCGGCCCGCGUCUGAUUAGCUUGUUGGUGAGGUAACGGCUCACCAAGGCGACGAUCAGUAGCUGGUCUGAGAGGAUGAUCAGCCACAUUGGGACUGAGACACGGCCCAAACUCCUACGGGAGGCAGCAGUGGGGAAUAUUGGACAAUGGGCGCAAGCCUGAUCCAGCCAUGCCGCGUGAGUGAUGAAGGCCCUAGGGUUGUAAAGCUCUUUCAGCAAGGGACGAAGACGAAAGUGACGGUACCUGCAGAAGAAGCACCGGCCAACUACGUGCCAG